AACAAACGCUGGCGGCGUGCCUAAUACAUGCAAGUCGAACGGGGAAAGCUUUCGGGUGAGUACUAGUGGCGCACGGGUGAGUAACGCGUGGAUAAUCUGCCUUAGAGUGGGGGAUAGCUAGUCGAAAGAUUAGCUAAUACCGCAUAAGACCACAAGAACUGCGGUUCAAGAGGUCAAAGGUUUUUCGCUCUAAGAUGAGUCCGCGUAAGAUUAGCUAGUUGGUGAGGUAACGGCUCACCAAGGCAACGAUCUUUAGCUGGUCUGAGAGGAUGAUCAGUCACACUGGAACUGAGACACGGUCCAGACUCCUACGGGAGGCAGCAGUAGGGAAUAUUGCACAAUGGAGGAAACUCUGAUGCAGCGACGCCGCGUGAGUGAUGAAGGCCUUCGGGUCGUAAAGCUCUGUCGCAGGGGAAUAACACAAUGAAUGUACCCUGUAAGAAAGGAUCGGCUAACUUCGUGCCAGCAGCCGCCGUAAGAC
rnacentral:rRNA from 1 species